rnacentral:rRNA from 1 species
AUAGCAUAUCAAUAAGCGGAGGAAAAGAAACCACCGGGAUUGCCCUAGUAACGGCGAGUGAAGCGGCAAGAGCUCAAAUUUGAAAGCUGGCUCCUUCGGGGUCCGCAUUGUAAUUUGCAGAGGAUGCUUCGGGAGCGGUCCCCAUCUAAGUGCCCUGGAACGGGCCGUCAUAGAGGGUGAGAAUCCCGUCUGGGAUGGGGUGCCCGCGCCCGUGUGAAGCUCCUUCGACGAGUCGAGUUGUUUGGGAAUGCAGCUCUAAUUGGGUGGUAAAUUUCAUCUAAAGCUAAAUAUUGGCCGGAGACCGAUAGCGCACAAGUAGAGUGAUCGAAAGAUGAAAAGCACUUUGAAAAGAGAGUUAAACAGCACGUGAAAUUGUUGAAAGGGAAGCGCUUGCGAUCAGACUCGCCCGCGGGGUUCAGCCGGCAUUCGUGCCGGUGUACUUCCCCGUGGGCGGGCCAGCGUCGGUUUGGGCGGCCGGUCAAAGGCCCCUGGAAUGUAACGCCUCUCGGGGCGUCUUAUAGCCAGGGGUGCCAUGCGGCCUGCCCGGACCGAGGAACGCGCUUCGGCUCGGACGCUGGCAUAAUGGUCGUAAGCGACCCGUCUUGAAACACGGACCAAGGAGUCUAACAUCUACGCGAGUGUUCGGGUGUCAAACCCGUGCGCGCAGUGAAAGCGAACGGAGGUGGGAACCCCCCGGGGUGCACCAUCGACCGAUCCUGAUGUCUUCGGAUGGAUUUGAGUAAGAGCGUAGCUGUUGGGACCCGAAAGAUGGUGAACUAUGCCUGAAUAGGGCGAAGCCAGAGGAAACUCUGGUGGAGGCUCGCAGCGGUUCUGACGUGCAAAUCGAUCGUCAAAUUUGGGUAUAGGGGCGAAAGACUAAUCGAACCAUCUAGUAGCUGGUUCCUGCCGA